CCUACGGGAGGCAGCAGUGAGGAAUAUUGGUCAAUGGGCGUAAGCCUGAACCAGCCAAGUCGCGUGAGGGAUGAAGGUUCUAUGGAUCGUAAACCUCUUUUAUAAGGGAAUAAAGUGUAGGACGUGUCCUGUUUUGUAUGUACCUUAUGAAUAAGGAUCGGCUAACUCCGUGCCAGCAGCCGCGGUAAUACGGAGGAUCCGUGCGUUAUCCGGAUAUAGUGGGUUUAAAGGGUGCGUAGGCGGCCUUUUAAGGCAGCGGUGAAAGUCUGUGGGUCAACCAGAGAAUUGCCGUUGAAACUGGGGGGCUUGAGAAUGUUUGAGGCAGGCGGAACGCGAGGUGUAGCGGUAAAAUGCUUAGAUAUCACGCAGAACCCCGAUUGCGAAGGCAGCCGGCCAAGCCAUGACUGACGCUGAUGCACGAAAGCGUGGGGAUCAAACAGGAUUAGAUACCCCAGUAGUC
rnacentral:rRNA from 1 species